rnacentral:rRNA from 1 species
CAACUUUCAACAACGGAUCUCUUGGUUCUGGCAUCGAUGAAGAACGCAGCGAAAUGCGAUAAGUAGUGUGAAUUGCAGAAUUCAGUGAAUCAUCGAAUCUUUGAACGCACAUUGCGCCCUUUGGUAUUCCAAAGGGCAUGCCUGGUUCGAGCGUCAUU